CUGGAGGUAUCAGAAGUGCGAAUGCUGACAUAAGUAACGAUAAAGCGGGUGAAAAGCCCGCUCGCCGGAAGACCAAGGGUUCCUGUCCAACGUUAAUCGGGGCAGGGUGAGUCGACCCCUAAGGCGAGGCCGAAAGGCGUAGUCGAUGGGAAACGGGUUAAUAUUCCCGUACUUGGUGUUACUGCGAAGGGGGGACGGAGAAGGCUAUGUUGGCCGGGCGACGGUUGUCCCGGUUUAAGCGUGUAGGUGUGUGUUCCAGGUAAAUCCGGUUCACUUUAACACUGAGGCGUGACGACGAGGCACUACGGUGCUGAAGCAACAAAUGCCCUGCUUCCAGGAAAAGCCUCUAAGCAUCAGGUAACAUCAAAUCGUACCCCAAACCGACACAGGUGGUCAGGUAGAGAAUACCAAGGCGCUUGAGAGAACUCGGGUGAAGGAACUAGGCAAAAUGGUGCCGUAACUUCGGGAGAAGGCACGCUGACACGUAGGUGAAGUGAUUUAC
rnacentral:rRNA from 1 species